rnacentral:rRNA from 1 species
CCUACGGGAGACAGCAGUGAGGAAUAUUGGUCAAUGGACGCAAGUCUGAACCAGCCAUGCCGCGUGCAGGAAGACGGCUCUAUGAGUUGUAAACUGCUUUUGUACGAGGGUAAACGCAGAUACGCGUAUCUGUCUGAAAGUAUCGUACGAAUAAGGAUCGGCUAACUCCGUGCCAGCAGCCGCGGUAAUACGGAGGAUUCAAGCGUUAUCCGGAUUUAUUGGGUUUAAAGGGUGCGUAGGCGGUCGGAUAAGUUAGAGGUGAAAUCCCGAGGCUCAACUUCGGAAUUGCCUCUGAUACUGUUAGGCUAGAGAGUAGUUGCUGUAGGCGGAAUGUAUGGUGUAGCGGUGAAAUGCUUAGAGAUCAUACAGAACACCGAUUGCGAAGGCAGCUUACCAAGCUACGUCUGACGUUGAGGCACGAAAGCGUGGGGAGCAAACAGGAUUAGAUACCCUGGUAGUC